AAAAUUUAAAGUUAAAAUACUAAAAUAGUAAAUAAAAUAUUUGUUGAAACUUAAAUAAUUUGGCGGUAUUUUAGUUCAUUUAGAGGAAUCUGUUUAAUAAUUGAUAUUCCACGAGUAAAUUUACUUAAUUUAUAAUUUUGUAUAUCGUUGUUAAAAAAAUAUUUUUUAAUAAUAUUAAUAUUUAAAAAUUAAAAUAUAAAUUUAAGUCAGAUCAAGAUGCAGAUUAUAAUUAAGAAUAUAAUGGAUUACAAUAAAUUUAUUUAAAUGGAUUUUAAUUUUUAAUAGUUAAUUGAAAGUGGAUUUAAAUGUAAUUUUAUUUAAUUUAAUAAAAUGAUUAAAAAUUAAAAUAUGU
rnacentral:rRNA from 1 species